ACCCAACAACCACAUCCCUCCUCAGAAGCCCCCAGAGCACUGCUCCUCACCAUGGACUGGACCUGGAUGAUCCUCUUUUUGGUGGCAGCAGCCACAGGUGCCCACUCCCAGGUCCAGCUCGUGCAGUCUGGGGCUGAGGUGAAGAAGCCUGGGGCCUCAGUGAAGGUCUCCUGCAAGGCUUCUGGAUAUACCUUCACCGACUACUUUAUGCACUGGAUGCUCCAGGCCCCUGGACAAAGGCUUGAGUGGAUGGGAUGGAUCAGCGCUGGCAAUGGUAACACAAAAUAUUCACAGAAGUUCCAGGGCAGAGUCACCAUUACCAGAGACACGUCCGCGAGCACAGCCUACAUGGAGCUGAGCAGCCUGAGAUCUGAGGACACGGCUGUGUAUUACUGUGUGAGAGACACAGUGUGAAAACCCACAUCCUGAGAGUGUCAGAAACCCCAGGGAGGAAGCAGCUGUGCCGGCAUGGAGGAAAUGACAAAGAUUAUUAGAUUGAAGACUUUCUCAGGAAAUGAUAUAAGUCAUUAAGGAAAAGGAACAAUAUAAACAUGUAUUUGAGAAAUUUUAAUUAUUUGAGAGAUUUUUCAUACAAUAUUUAUUCUGCAAGCAAAUUUCAGGGGUUGAAUUAAUAAAACUGAUACAGAACUUCCUCUGUAGGUAUCUGUGUAAACAUCAAUUUCUGAAUCAGUGUUGUAAAUAUUUUGGAACACACACACAAAUCACAUUUUAUCUCUACUUUUAUCUCUAUUUUUUAAAAUGCCAAAAAAACUCAUUUUGUGCAUGUAGCAUUUUGAAUUCCCACCAUCAAUGCAUGAUAGUUGUUGGUUUUCCACAUUCAUAUUUCCAUUUAUCAUUAUAAGAAUUGUGUGUUUUAACCAUUCUAAUAGGUGAGUAAUG